AUGGCACUACGUUUUGGCAUAUUACUUGCACAAAAGGCGGGAAGCAACCGACUUGUUGUUAACUCCGACAAUAUGAAAGUAAUUGACACAAUGAAUAAUGGAGGACAUACAAUGGGAGCGGCGACAGCUGUGUUUGAUGAUUGUUAUUUUAUGGCUUGUGAUUUUCUGUUAGUUAGAUUUGAACAUUGUAAUAGAAAGGCAAAUAAAGUAGCUCAUGAAAUUGCUAGAGUAGCUAAAUUUUCUAAGACAAGGGAUUGGUUUGAGGAACCUAUGAACGAUAUUGUAAAUUUUCUUAUAUACGAUGUAACCAUUGUUACUAAUAAAUAA
rnacentral:rRNA from 1 species